UGCUCUUCAUAAUUAAAGUAAGUUGGAUUACUAUUCCUACAGUCAGCAGCUCGGUGGCCUGACUUCCUACACUUGAAUCAAUUCAUAGUUGUGAUAUUGCACUAAAAAACACGAUGUUCAAACUCACCAUAUUUGAAACAUCUCACGGAAGUAGGAGUCCCUCCCCCACUCCAUUUUCCCUACCUAUAACCCUCUGACCAGCCUUCUACUUCCCUUUGUAAGCUGGAGCAAUAUAUGGUUU
rnacentral:lncRNA from 1 species